AUACGAAGGGGGCUAGCGUUGUUCGGAAUUACUGGGCGUAAAGCGCGCGUAGGCGGAUUGAUCAGUUAGGGGUGAAAUCCCAGGGCUUAACCCUGGAACUGCCUCUAAUACUGUCAGUCUUGAGUUCGGGAGAGGUGAGUGGAAUUCCUAGUGUAGAGGUGAAAUUCGUAGAUAUUAGGAAGAACACCAGUGGCGAAGGCGGCUCACUGGCCCGAUACUGACGCUGAGGCGCGAAAGCGUGGGGAGCAAACAGGAUUAGAAACCCUAGUAGUCC
rnacentral:rRNA from 1 species